UAAAAGUCCUAGACAGCAGCCAUGAGCCAGACCGUAUUUAUAUGGGAUGGUUCAUGGCUAUUGGAUGGGCUAGCUUGUAUGAACAAAGAGUGGGAUCACUCGGAUUGUGAAUACAGGUGACGAUUGCGAGAGCACUAAAGUGCGGAGCAAUCGACUUUUA
rnacentral:sRNA from 1 species